GCACUGCAAGGAACCUAAGGGUUCGGCACUAUGAUCUCCAUCUAGGAGAUCUGUUCGAGUCGGGCCAGAUCAGGAGAAUCACCUGAUUGGUAGUCAUAGAGUGUGUACCGAGUUAGGAGUGACACAUAGGUGGUAGCAUUGGUAGCUAUCAGUUUUGAUCAGUUUAGAUUAUAAUCUACUCCCUUUGUUCCGUAAUAUAGGUCGUUAAACGAUUUGACGAACAAACUUUCGUAGGCUACGAUUUUCCCCGAGUUUCCCAUUCUACCCCUCCGCCGACACGUUCCCCUCUUUCUCGCCCGACGCCACCGACCACUCGCUCCCCACUCGCCCCCGCUCUCUCUCUCUCUCGCACGACGCCCCCGCUCGCCUCUCUCUCUCGCGCGCGCGACGCCGGCCACCAGCCGCCUCUCUCUGUCUCGCGCGACGCCGCUCUCUCCCCGUUGAUGCGCCCUCUCUCUCCCUCUCGCCGGCAUCUUGCUCCGCACCGCCGCUCACCGCUCCCCACCACCCUGGUUCACACAAAGCUGCCAUUUUUAUUCGCCGGCGAUGCGCUGCUGGGCGAGGAGGAGCUGGAUCCACAUGCGCUGGUCCUCGAUCUGCUUGUGGAUAGGCGUGAGGAGUCGCUGAAGCGGAGCCCGAGCGGCGCUGGCGCGGGCGUGAAGACGACGGCGGGAGGAGCUGGAGCCCGAGCGGGAGGAUCUGGAGCCGCAUCUCAAGUAUUGAAGCUACCCCGGCGACGCAACGACGCUUGAUGUGGAGCGGCGCCUGAGCAGCGGAGUCGGCGGUCAUAUCCACGGCGACGGCGACGCCGCCAAAGGUGGAGUGUAGUUGAGGUCUGGGACAACCAUCUUCUGCUGCUUUCAGUUCAUUCCUCUCUUUGCUAUGUGGUCAUUGUUUCAGGACAGAUCAAGAACAGGCUAUGUCCGACGGCUAGUUGGCGGCCGGCGGUGAUCCGGUGCCGCUGGCGCUGGUAGAGGGGAUGCCGCUGCACGUGCGUGAAUGGCUGGAGGCAUGCCGCCGAAUCCCCCCCCGCCCCUGGCACCAGCCAGUCUCAGCUCGAGUUCUCAGCUUUUGUUUUGCUAUGGGGAUGUGGUGGUCUUGUGUCUGAUCUCUUUGCCUAGUCGCCAGUCGCCACACAUUGAGUUCGUUUCCAGCGACAGCAGAGAGAUGUACUCCAUCAGAGGAUCAAAUGAUCAGAGAGAGGAGAUGAACCUGGGCACCAGCCGAACCCAGCAGCAGCUCCUGGACGUGGGAGAGGAGGAGCACCUGCGCCUGGAUGCAGUGGCCGGAGGUGGGUACGGAGGUGGAGAUGGAGGAACAGCCUGUGCUCGCCUCCACCUGGGCGCGGGUCAGGAGGAGCCCCUGUGUGUGGGCGGCAGCAGAGCACCAGCUCUACUCCAGCGGCG